AUUUGUCAAGUAAAUUGAGCCAGUGGUGAUUAUUUAGUUUCAGAACUCAUUACCUAUUUGUUUAGUUUGCUUACUAUCUCAAAGUAUGGUCAGUUGAUACCCAAAAAAAAAAAAAAAAGCAAGACCACUUUAUAGAAGAGGUUGAACAAUAAUAACAAAAAGUAUGGCAAUAUUAAAAUACCAUUGGAUUAAUCAUUCUAAAAAACACCAGAUUACAUAACACACAAAUGCCAUUGUGCUCAACCAUUCCCAAAACACUUGCAGAUUACAAACCUCCCUCCUCCCCUUUGUUACAGUUAAGAUUACUAAACCUACAUUACAUAGUCAACUCUAAACCUAAUGAUGAUUAUCCCUUAAACCACCAACCAUCAUGGAAAUCAACAUUAUCCAAGAAAGAAUCAGAAAUCCCCACAACAAUUUCUCUCUACCUCGAAGCUUGGCUAGAUCUUGUUCCAGUCUUUCCCUAUUCUCCGCAACUCAGGUAUUAUAUCCUUUGAACAAGAACACAUCUCUGGAUCAAACCACUCAAAGAAACAACAACCUAUGUUCCUUCCCUGUAACACCAUAAUAUCAUCAAAAACUACCAUAAACAAGUAAAAAUCUACAAAUAUUAAAGUGGUUGUUACCAGUGGGCAGACUAGAAACCUUCGACCUGGGUUGGAAUCUGUCCAUGAGGUCUGAACUCGACAGAGCUUCCCACAAUGGCAAUGCUUUCGUUGUCGACCCUCCAUCACAACUUCAAUUCAAUUGUUGAAGGAGGUCUUUAGGGUUCACAAUUGUUUGCAAUUUGGGACCAAUUUUUGCAGAGUUAAUUAAUACCCAUAAAUUCUUAUAUGGACAGAUGAACCAAGAAAAAUGGCACAUGGGCGUCACGUGUGCAAGUUUGACGACUUAUGUUAUGGCUGGAUGGAAUCCAAGCAAAGUGAGAAACUAUAUGGAGUUUU
rnacentral:lncRNA from 1 species